AUAAACGCUGGCGGCGUGCCUUAUGCAUGCAAGUCGAACGAUAAGCCACCUUCGGGUGGUGGACAGUGGCAGACGGGUGAGUAACGCGUGGGAACGUGCCUUUCGGUUCGGAAUAACCCAGGGAAACUUGGGCUAAUACCGGAUACGCCCUUCGGGGGAAAGAUUCAUUGCCGAAAGAUCGGCCCGCGUCGGAUUAGCUAGUUGGUGGGGUAAUGGCUCACCAAGGCGACGAUCCGUAGCUGGUCUGAGAGGAUGACCAGCCACACUGGGACUGCGACACGGCCCAGACUCCUACGGGAGGCAGCAGUGGGGAAUAUUGGACAAUGGGCGCAAGCCUGAUCCAGCCAUGCCGCGUGGGUGAAGAAGGCCUUAGGGUUGUAAACCCCUUUCAGCGGGGAAGAUAAUGACGGUACCCGCAGAAGAAGUCCCGGCUAACUCCGU
rnacentral:rRNA from 1 species